CUGCUUCAGCAGCACAUAUACUAAAACUGGAAUGAAACAGAGAAGCAUGGGCCUUGAGCCCAUGACCUGCAAAUUUAUGAAGCAUUCUAUACUAAG
rnacentral:snRNA from 1 species